rnacentral:rRNA from 1 species
GACGAACGCUGGCGGCGUGCUUAACACAUGCAAGUCGAACGGAAAGGCCCUGCUUUUGUGGGGUGCUCGAGUGGCGAACGGGUGAGUAACACGUGAGUAACCUGCCCUUGACUUUGGGAUAACUUCAGGAAACUGGGGCUAAUACCGGAUAGGAGCUCCUGCUGCAUGGUGGGGGUUGGAAAGUUUCGGCGGUUGGGGAUGGACUCGCGGCUUAUCAGCUUGUUGGUGUGGUAGUGGCUUACCAAGGCUUUGACGGGUAGCCUGCCUGAGAGGGUGACCGGCCACAUUGGGACUGAGAUACGGACCAGAAUCCUACGGGAGGCAGCAGUGGGGAAUAUUGCACAAUGGGCGGAAGCCUGAUGCAGCAACGCCGCGUGCGGGAUGACGGCCUUCGGGGUGUAAACCGCUUUCGCAUGUGACGAAGAGUGAGUGACGGUAAUGGGUAAAGAAGCACCGGCUAACUACGUG